rnacentral:rRNA from 1 species
CCAGACUCCUACGGGAGGCAGCAGUGGGGAAUAUUGCACAAUGGGGGAAACCCUGAUGCAGCGACGCCGCGUGAGUGAAGAAGUAAUUCGUUAUGUAAAGCUCUAUCAGCAGGGAAGAAAAUGACGGUACCUGAGUAAGAAGCACCGGCUAAAUACGUGCCAGCAGCCGCGGUAAUACGUAUGGUGCAAGCGUUAUCCGGAUUUACUGGGUGUAAAGGGAGCGCAGGCGGCACGGCAAGCCUGAUGUGAAAGCCCGCGGCCCAACCGCGGGACUGCAUUGGGAACUACCGGGCUGGAGUGCCGGAGAGGUAGGCGGAAUUCCUAGUGUAGCGGUGAAAUGCGUAGAUAUUAGGAGGAACACCAGUGGCGAAGGCGGCCUGCUGGACGAUGACUGACGUUGAGGCCCGAAAGCGUGGGGAGCAAACAGGAUUAGAUACCCCUGUAGA